rnacentral:rRNA from 1 species
UACGAGGGACCCAAGCGUUAUCCGGAUUUAUUGGGUUUAAAGGGUGCGUAGGCGGACAUGCAAGUCAGUGGUGAAAUCUCCCUGCUCAACAGGGAAACUGCCAUUGAAACUAUGUGUCUUGAGUACAUUUGAGGCGGGCGGAAUGUGUCAUGUAGAGGUGAAAUUCUUAGAUAUGACACAGAACACCAAUUGCGAAGGCAGCUCGCUAAACUGUAACUGACGCUGAGGCACGAAAGCGUGGGGAUCAAACAGG